rnacentral:rRNA from 1 species
AGCAGCCGCCACGGUAAUACAGAGGGUGCGAGCGUUAAUCGGAUUUACUGGGCGUAAAGCGUGCGUAGGCGGCUUCUUAAGUCGGAUGUGAAAUCCCUGAGCUUAACUUAGGAAUUGCAUUCGAUACUGGGAAGCUAGAGUAUGGGAGAGGAUGGUAGAAUUCCAGGUGUAGCGGUGAAAUGCGUAGAGAUCUGGAGGAAUACCGAUGGCGAAGGCAGCCAUCUGGCCUAAUACUGACGCUGAGGUACGAAAGCAUGGGGAGCAAACAGGAUUAGAUACCCGGGUAGUCCCUGUCUCUUAUAC